rnacentral:rRNA from 1 species
UACGUAGGGCGCAAGCGUUGUCCGGAAUUAUUGGGCGUAAAGAGCUCGUAGGUGGUUUGUCGCGUCUGCCGUGAAAGCCCGGGGCUUAACUCCGGGUCUGCGGUGGAUACGGGCAGACUAGAGGCAGGUAGGGGAGAACGGAAUUCCCGGUGUAGCGGUGAAAUGCGCAGAUAUCGGGAGGAACACCGGUGGCGAAGGCGGCUUGCUGGGCCGGACCUGACGCUGAGACGCGAAGGCGUGGGGAGCGAACGGG